rnacentral:rRNA from 1 species
CCUACGGGAGGCAGCAGUGGGGAAUUUUGGACAAUGGGGGAAACCCUGAUCCAGCAAUGCCGCGUGUGUGAAGAAGGCCUUCGGGUUGUAAAGCACUUUUGUCAGGAACGAAACGGUGGGGGCUAAUACCUCCUGCUAAUGACGGUACCUGAAGAAUAAGCACCGGCUAACUACGUGCCAGCAGCCGCGGUAAUACGUAGGGUGCAAGCGUUAAUCGGAAUUACUGGGCGUAAAGCGUGCGCAGGCGGUUGUGCAAGACAGAUGUGAAAUCCCCGGGCUUAACCUGGGAAUGGCAUUUGUGACUGCACGGCUAGAGUGUGUCAGAGGGGGGUAGAAUUCCACGUGUAGCAGUGAAAUGCGUAGAUAUGUGGAGGAAUACCGAUGGCGAAGGCAGCCCCCUGGGAUAACACUGACGCUCAUGCACGAAAGCGUGGGGAGCAAACAGGAUUAGAUACCCUGGUAGUCCACGCCCUAAACGAUGUCAACUAGUUGUCGGGUCUUAAUUGACUUGGUAACGCAGCUAACGCGUGAAGUUGACCGCCUGGGGAGUACGGUCGCAAGAUUAAAACUCAAAUGAAUUGACGG